GAUGAACGCUGGCGGCGUGCCUAAUACAUGCAAGUCGAGCGAACAGACGAGGAGCUUGCUCCUCUGACGUUAGCGGCGGACGGGUGAGUAACACGUGGAUAACGUACCUAUAAGACUGGGAUAACUUCGGGAAACCGGAGCUAAUACCGGAUAAUAUAUUGAACCGCAUGGUUCAAUAGUAAAAGACGGUUUUGCUGUCACUUAUAGAUGGAUCCGCGCCGCAUUAGCUAGUUGGUAAGGUAACGGCUUACCAAGGCAACGAUGCGUAGCCGACCUGAGAGAGUGAUCGGCCACACUGGAGGUGAGACGCGGUCCAGGCUCCUACGGGAGGCAGCAGUAGCGAAUCUUACGCAAUGGGCGAAAGCAUGACGGAGCAACGCCGCGUGAGUGAUGAAGGUCUUCGGAUCGUAAAACUCUGUUAUUAGGGAAGAACAAAUGUGUAAGUAACUAUGCACGUCUUGACGGUACCUAAUCAGAAAGCCACGGCUAACUACGUG
rnacentral:rRNA from 1 species